GGCAUUUGUUGCUUUCAUGCUUAUUGUUGUUGAAGUUCUUGUUUCAACAACCUGUGGAUUAAAUUACCUUCUUAUUAAAGAAAAAUUGCAAUAAUGGUACUAUAAAUGGUUGAUAAGAUUUUAUUUUGUGAUUUGUUACAAUAGUUUUAUAAUGCAAGUAUUGAAAUAUUGAUAAAAACAGCGAUUUGGAGGGAAAAUCGUUUUCUGGUGGUGUGGCAUCAGAUCAAGUUGUGAUGCCGGGACGGCUACCGCUAGCUCAUGCAUUAUUUCUUCCAACACAUAAUCGUGUCUUUAACUAUUAUCAUCAAGAAAUAAUCAAACUUUACUUUAGAUUAAAUGAAAUUGACAUCAAAUGUGACAGCAAUGACAGCUGUGUCAUUCUUAGUCGACAGUUUCCAAGGUAAUGGCAUGCUCAAAAUUUAUACUUUUUUAUUCUGCACUGCGGUGUAGAGUUUAGUUUAAUCCCAAAUAACUCGAGAACGGUACAUUUUGGCGAUAUGAAGCAAGAGUUCCUUUUUUAUUAAAAAAUAAUUGAGCUUUUGAUUUUUGGUAUCAAAAAUACCUGUUUAUAGGCCGAAAAAUUGAGUUAUCACCUAAAAACUGGAAGGGCCCCCUUGUCACCGGAAAUGUAUAGCUUUUACAAGAUUUCCAUUUACACCAUAUCAAAGAGCGUCUUUGUGUUUCUUGACAUGCAAAAUUUCAUAAUAAUCGCAUGAACGGUAACAAAAAUAUUUUCAAAAAACCAUUUUUCCAUACCAAUUUUUGAAAAAUUGUAAUUUUCCUAUUUUUUGUGGUGGGUCAGUAAAUAUUAUCCUAUUUAUUCUUAAUUGUAGAGGGGUAUUCGUGGUUAAAAUUAUGCCACAUAUUUUUGAAUCACCCGAUAUACUAUGGUUUACUAACUCGCUGGAACACAGUGAGCAUUUUUAUUUACCUGUAUAGAACAUCACUUAUCAACUCAUCAGUCAUCAUCAUCACUCAAUAGUUUUAAGAAGUUUCAUUUUAUGCAUAAAUAGCUAUGUGUAGGUUUUGUAUGCCGCCUGUAUCAGAACUCACUCCCCACCGGAAAUGUGCGUAUAGUUUAAGCAAUUCUGAAGCUAAAGUUCCUUUACAAAAAAUUCUAACUCAACUAACUAACUGCGUUUGGGAGAUAAAAACGUUUAAAAAUAUCCAAUCACAAAAGGCCUUGCUUUGGAGGACUAGGGGAACAAAACACGUUGCUAGGAAAACAAAAAAUAGGUAGAACGGACAAUAAAAGUAGACACUUGAAUUAUUUUUAAUUCCUUAGUUACGCAUCUACUAUAUGCACUACACCUGGAAGAGAGCUUCUGGGAUUGGUCAUUUUUAACCCUCUGUAUCUCACAAACUAAGAAUAAAAGACCUACUUUUUUUGCAUUUUUGCCAUCUCUAUUGCUGUUACCACUAGUAUUUUCCGGUGGGGAGUGAGUUCUGAUACACCCUGUAUGUCGUAGGCUAAUUGUAAAAUCAGGCGUAUUAUAACAAGCCUAGUCAUAUUGUAAACACCUGGGCAAAUUAAAAAUGGAUGAAUAAAUGCAGGAUUUUUACAAUGCGACUAAAAAUUUUAGGCGUAUUAUAAAACGCCUAACAAGUUUUCGUCUUAAUGUAAAAUGGUUUUUGAUAUUGUUCACUUAAAAAUGACUGAUACAUUUAGUCGUUUUGUCAAACAUUUUAUAAAA